rnacentral:tRNA from 1 species
GGGGGUGUAGCUCAGUGGCACAGUGGCUGCCUGGAAAGCAUGAGGUCCUGAGUUUGAUUCUUGGUACCACCC